rnacentral:rRNA from 1 species
GAUGAACGCUGGCGGCGUGCCUAACACAUGCAAGUCGAGCGAACAGAUGAGGCUUUUGCUCCUCUUACGUUACCGGCGGACGGGUAAGUCCCACGAUUCUACCCUACCUUUAAGACUGGCAUAACUUCUCGACCCCGGAGCUAAUACCGGUUAUUAUAUUGAACCUCAUGGUUCAUUAGACAUAGCCCUUUUUGCUGUCACUUAUACAUGUAUCCUCGCCGCAUUAGCUAGUUGGUAGGGUAACGGCUUACCAAGGCGACGAUGCGUAGCCGACCUGAGAGGAUGAUCGGUCACACUGGAACUGAGACACGGUCCAGACUCCUACGGGAGGCAGCAGUAGGGAAUAUUGAACAAUGGGCGAAAGCCUGAUGAAGCAAAGCCGCGUGAGUGAAGAAGGUCUUCGGAUUGUAAAACACUGUAAGUAGGGAAGAAAAAAAGUGAAAUAAAAUAUGGAAGUAUUGACGGUACCAACAGAGAAAGCAACGGCUAACUACGUG